AUUGAACGCUGGCGGCAGGCUUAACACAUGCAAGUCGAGCGGGGUGAUGGUGCUUGCACUAUCACCUAGCGGCGGACGGGUGAGUAAUGCUUAGGAAUCUGCCUAUUAGUGGGGGACAACAUCUCGAAAGGGAUGCUAAUACCGCAUACGUCCUACGGGAGAAAGCAGGGGAUCACUUGUGACCUUGCGCUAAUAGAUGAGCCUAAGUCGGAUUAGCUAGUUGGUGGGGGAAAGGCCUACCAAGGCGACGAUCUGUAGCGGGUCUGAGAGGAUGAGCCGCCACACUGGGACUGGGACACGGCCCAGACUCCUACGGGAGGCAGCAGUGGGGAAUAUUGGACAAUGGGGGGAACCCUGAUCCAGCCAUGACGCGUGUGUGAAGAAGGCCUUAUGGUUGUAAAGCACUUUAAGCGAGGAGGAGGCUCUUUCGGUUAAUACCCAAGAUGAGUGGACGUUACUCGCAGAAUAAGCACCGGCUAACUCUGUGCCAGCAGCCGCUGUAA
rnacentral:rRNA from 1 species